rnacentral:rRNA from 1 species
CCUACGGGAGGCAGCAGUAGGGAAUCUUCCACAAUGGACGAAAGUCUGAUGGAGCAACGCCGCGUGUGUGAUGAAGGGUUUCGGCUCGUAAAACACUGUUGUAAGAGAAGAAUGACAUUGAGAGUAACUGUUCAGUGUGUGACGGUAUCUUACCAGAAAGGAACGGCUAAAUACGUGCCAGCAGCCGCGGUAAUACGUAUGUUCCAAGCGUUAUCCGGAUUUAUUGGGCGUAAAGCGAGCGCAGACGGUUGUUUAAGAACGAAAUGAAAGCCCACAGGCUAAAAGUGAGAGUUAGUUUGAAACUAGAUAACUUGAGUUCAGUAAAGAAGAGGGGAACUACAUGUGUAACGGUGAAAUGCGGAGAUAUAUGGAAGAACAACAGUGGCGAAGGCGGCUCUCUGGACUGUAACUGACGUUGAGGCGCGAAAGUGUGGGUAGCAAACAGGAUUAGAUACCCUUGUAGUC